CGGGGGGGGCAAGCGUUGUUCGGAAUUACUGAGCGUAAAGGGCGCGUAGGCGGUUGGAUAAGUCAGCUGUGAAAACCACGGGCUUAACUCGUGGCCUGCAGUUGAGACUGUCUGGCUUGAGUGUGGGAGAGGAGAGUGGAAUUCCUGGUGUAGCGGUGAAAUGCGUAGAUAUCAGGAGGAACACCGGUGGCGAAGGCGGCUCUCUGGACCACAACUGACGCUGAGGCGCGAAAGCUAGGGGAGCAAACAGGAUUAGAUACCCUGGUAGUCCUAGCUGUAAACGAUGGAUACUUGCUGUGGGGGGUGUUAAAUCCCCUGUGGCGGAGCUAACGCAUUAAGUAUCCCGCCUGGGGAGUACGGUCGCAAGGCUG
rnacentral:rRNA from 1 species